AGUUUCUGAUUUGCCGGGAGGCUGAAAAAGCUCGGAGAUUGUGUGUUGACAUCAGCUUCGUCUCUAUUAACCGUGGGAUGGGAGUUAAAUGACAGCACGAAAUUC
rnacentral:snoRNA from 17 species